rnacentral:rRNA from 1 species
GAUGAACGCUAGCUACAGGCUUAACACAUGCAAGUCGCGGGGCAGCAUGACAUCAGCUUGCUGAUGUUGAUGGCGACCGGCGCACGGGUGAGUAACACGUAUCCAACCUGCCGAUGACUCGGGGAUAGCCUUUCGAAAGAAAGAUUAAUACCCGAUGGCAUAGUUCUUCCGCAUGGUAGGACUAUUAAAGAAUUUCGGUCAUCGAUGGGGAUGCGUUCCAUUAGCUUGUUGGCGGGGUAACGGCCCACCAAGGCAUCGAUGGAUAGGGGUUCUGAGAGGAAGGUCCCCCACAUUGGAACUGAGACACGGUCCAA